UCAAAAAAUUAAUAGCUUAAAGUGAAGACCUAGGUACCCACAGACGAAGAAGGACGUGUUUAGUCGACGAAACACUUCAUUUAGCUGACUAAAAGCAUUAAAAUUAGAAGAUUUCCGAAUGGGAUAUAACCCUUUAAAUUUUUAAUGAUAUUUCAUUAAAAAAGUAAACCUGGGGAACUGAAUCAUCUUAGUACCCAGAGGAAUAAAAAGUAACAACGAAUUCCUUAGUAGUGGCGAACGAAAAGGUAAAAAAGAUAAAAUAUCUUGUAAAAUCUUAGUAAAUUGGGAAAUGUUUUAUCCCUGUUGAAUUAAAAAACGAGGCUCACCUCGUAAUACUAAAUACUCGUGGGUAACCGAUAGUGAAUUAGUACCGUGAGGGAAAGGUGAAAAGAACCCCGUGAAGGGAAGUGAAAAGAAAGCGAAACUUUAAGCUAACAUACGAUAGAAGGGUUUAAUGAAGAGCCUAACUAUGUACCUAUUGAAGAAGGGGCCGAUGAGUCAUGGUUUGUAAGCAAAUAAAAGGUUAAAGAAAUUAGUCUGAAGCCAGAGUGUAAGCGAGCUAUAAAAAGCAUAUUAGAGUUUACUUCCAUGAACCCGAAGCCGGAUGAUCUAAGCAUGUCCAAAGUGAAGCAUAAGUUAAAUUAUGUGGAGGCUUGAACUGGUUAAUGUUGCAAAAUUAUCAGAUGAGGUGUGUUUAGGGGUGAAAUGCCAAACGAAUCCGGAGCUAGCUGGUUCUCCCCGAAAUGUAUUUAAGUACAGCUACUAAGUUAUAUUAAUAGUAGGGGUAAAGCACUAUUUUAAUUAAAGCUAUAAAUAUUAAUAGUAUUUGAUUAAUUUAACCUAUGAAUACUACUAUUUUUUAGUAAGUGAGACUUAAGGGGCAAAUCUCUUAAGUCAAAAGGGAAACAACCCACACCAUAAGUUAAGGUCCUUAAAGAUUGUUAAGUUUUAAAAGGAAGUGAAAUUGUUAUAACAUCCAGAAGGUUGGCUUAGAAGCAGCAAUCCUUUAAAGAGUGCGUAAUAGCUCACUGGUUUAGUGAUUUUGUGCCGAAAAUAUACGGGAAUAAACAAUCUACCGAAACUGUGGGGUAUAAUUAUAGAAUUAAAAUUAUAUUGAUAGGGGAGCGUUCUACCUUAGAAUAAAGCUUUAGUGUUAAUUAAAGUGAACGAAGUAGAAGUGAGAAUAUCGGUUUGAGUAGCGAUAAUAUCAGUUAAAAUCUGAUACUCCUAAAACCCAAGGAUUCCUAUGAAAUUGUUAUUCUACAUAGGGUUAGUCGAGGCCUAAAAUGAGAUGUAAUGUGUAGUUGAUGGGUAAUUAGGUUAAUAUUCCUAAACCAUAAUUAUUUUACAAUAAAUGACAGAUUUUUAUAUUAUUAAAAUAAGUGUUGGUUAUCUUAUUUUUAAUAUUAUUUAAAUUUCAAGAAAAACUUUAUAUGUGUUAAAAUAAUUUAUGCUCGUACCGUAAACCGACACAGGUGGGUUAGUAAAAUAUACUUAGGAGACGAGAUAACUAUCUCUAAGGAACUCGGCAAAUUAAUCCUGUAACUUCGGAAGAAAGGAGACCUUUUAUUUUAAAGGUUAUAAAAUAGGCCUGAGCGACUGUUUAUCAAAAACACAGGUCUCCGCUAAGUUGAAAAACAAUGUAAGGAGGCUGACGCCUGCCCAGUGCCGGUAGGUUAUCUAAAAAGGAUAUUAAUUCUUUUUUUAAGCCCCGGUAAACGGCGGCUGUACCUAUAACGGUCCUAAGGUAGCGAAAUUCCUUGUCGGGUAAGUUCCGACCCGCACGAAAGGCGUAACGACUUGGGCACUGUCUUUGAGAUAGACUCGGCGAAAUAGAAAUGUCUGUGAAGAUGCGGACAUCCUACACCAGGACAGAAAGACCCUAUGAAGCUUUACUAUAACUUGAAAUUGAAUUUUAGAUUUGAAUGCGCAGAAUAAGUGGGAGAUUUUGAAGUUAAUUUUUAGGAAAUAAUGGAGUCAAUAGUGAGAUACCACUCUUUCAAAAUUGAAAUUCUAACGAAAAUUCUGUAAACCAGUUUUUGAACAGUUUCAGGCGGGUAGUUUGACUGGGGCGGUCGCCUCCUAAAAAGUAACGGAGGCGCACAAAGGUUUUUUAAUUAUGUAAAAAUAUAAAAAAGCUUAACUGUUAGACAUACAAGUUAAACAGAGACGAAAGUCGGUUUUAAUGAUCCGACGAUAUAAUAUGUGAUAAUAUCGUCGCUUAACGGAUAAAAGUUACUCUAGGGAUAACAGGCUGAUCUCCCCUGAUAGUUCUUAUUGACGGGGAGGUUUGGCACCUCGAUGUCGGCUUGUCGCAUCCUGGGGCGGUAGUACGUCCCAAGGGUUGGUCUGUUCGCCCAUUAAAGCGGCACGUGAGCUGGGUUCAGAACGUCGUGAGACAGUUCGGUCCUUAUCCGGUGUAGGCGAUAGAACAUUGAAAGAAUUUCUUCUAGUACGAGAGGAUCGAAGAAACUAUAUCUCUGAUGUACCAGUUAUUUUGCCAAAAGUAUUACGCUGGGAAGUUAAAUAUAGAUAGAAAAAGAUUAACCAUUGAAAGCAUAUAAAUGGGAAAAAUAUCUUAAGAUAAAUGUUCUUUUCAAUUUUAAAAUAGUUUAAAAUAUGAUUAAGAAAUCAAUUAGAAUAAUUGAUAAAUAGCUUAUAAAUAAGUAUAAGUAUAGUAAUAUAUUUAGCUUUUAAGACUAAUAGUUCGAAUAUUUGAAUCU
rnacentral:rRNA from 1 species